UUCUCUUCCCUCCAACCAAAUAAACAGGUCUAUUCUCUUCCCUUCUUCGCUCUCUUUUGUGCUUGUUUGCUUUCAGAACGCAACCUCACCUCAGAGGAACUGAGCGAUUGAUUGGAAGUUUUGAACGUGAAAGGAGUCGGGAGUUAUUGGCGCUAGUAGCUGACGGUUUCAAGAGGAAUAGGAUUUCUAGGAGAAAAUGCGUGGAACCACUGCAAUAUCCCUUGUAAAGAACAUUCUCAAACAAGUAUACUGCCCAAUGAAGAGACGAUCAUCUGGGAUAAUGGCAACUUCGGCCCCUAGCAGGCAAUCAAACGAUGAUGUUGGGGAGGGAGAAGGACCCAUGACAGAUGACAAGGCGGAGCAGAGCCCAUCGUCGCCUUCAACAGACCUCCACUUCCACCUUUUCUCGGGCCUGUUGUUGUUCUCUCUUUGCUUGAAAUGGGGUCGCGCAGCAAUGACGACUGAGAUGUUUGUGAAAUUUCUUGUUCGGUACUUACUGGUGCAUUUGUGUAGGAGAUAGUUUGGUAAUGGCUCGUGAAAUGGUAGUCUGCCUUUAGUAACUGAGCUACAAAUGUUAAGAGGUUAAUGUAGCACUAAAACAUAGGAUGGAUAAAGGGCUCCGGCCUCCAGAAAUAUACUGUAAAUCUUCACACUUGUAGUAUACCGUCACCUGGGCUACUGUAGGAAAACCUGAAGGACCCAAACAUUACUAGUGUUUUAGCAUCAGUUUCUUCUGUAUGAUCUUUUGUGUUACUCUAGUUUAUCGAAGUUAAAAGUA